ACACGAGUUUGAGUCGGUUGGUUGGAAUACACUCACAACCAGUUGAUAUAGAAAUGUGUGCACA